GCUGGGCGUUGUGGUGGGUGCCUGUAAUCCCAGCUACUGGGGAGGCUGAGGCAGGAGAAUCGCUUGAGCCCAGGAGGUGGAGGUUGCAGUGAGCUGACAUUGCACCAGUGCACUCCAGCCUGGGCAACAGAGCCAGACUCUGUCUCAG
rnacentral:sRNA from 1 species